rnacentral:rRNA from 1 species
AACGAACGCUGGCGGCAUGCCUAACACAUGCAAGUCGAACGAGACCUUCGGGUCUAGGUGCGCACGGGUGCGUAACGCGGGGGAAGCUGCCCGUAGGUUCCGAAUAACUGCCCGAAAGGGGUGCUAAUACCGGAGAAUGUCUUCGGACCAAAGAUUUAUCGCCUUUGGAUGGGGCCGUGUUGGAUUCGCUAGUUGGUAGGGUAAAAGCAUACCAAGGCGAGGAUCCAUAGCUGGUCUGAGAGGAUGAUCCGCAGCACUGGGGCUGAGACACGGCCCAGACUCCUACGCGACGCAGCAGUGGGUUACAUUGUAGGCUGGGCCCAAACGUGAUCCAGCCAUGCCGCGUGUGUGAUCCAGGCCUUAGGGUUGUACAGCUCUCUUACCCGGGGUGAUAAUGACGGUACCGGGAGAAUAAGCUCCGGCUAACUCCGUG